GGGUUGUGAGGUUAAGCGACUAAGCGUACACGGUGGAUGCCCUGGCAGUCAGAGGCGAUGAAGGACGUGCUAAUCUGCGAUAAGCGUCGGUAAGGUGAUAUGAACCGUUAUAACCGGCGAUUUCCGAAUGGGGAAACCCAGUGUGAUUCGUCACACUAUCAUUAACUGAAUCCAUAGGUUAAUGAGGCGAACCGGGGGAACUGAAACAUCUAAGUACCCCGAGGAAAAGAAAUCAACCGAGAUUCCCCCAGUAGCGGCGAGCGAACAGGGAGCAGCCCAGAGCCUGAAUCAGUGUGUGUGUUAGUGGAAGCGUCUGGAAAGGCGCGCGAUACAGGGUGACAGCCCCGUACACAAAAAUGCACAUGCUGUGAGCUCGAUGAGUAGGGCGGGACACGUGGUAUCCUGUCUGAAUAUGGGGGGACCAUCCUCCAAGGCUAAAUACUCCUGACUGACCGAUAGUGAACCAGUACCGUGAGGGAAAGGCGAAAAGAACCCCGGCGAGGGGAGUGAAAAAGAACCUGAAACCGUGUACGUACAAGCAGUGGGAGCACAGAGCAAUCUGUGUGACUGCGUACCUUUUGUAUAAUGGGUCAGCGACUUAUAUUCUGUAGCAAGGUUAACCGAAUAGGGGAGCCGAAGGGAAACCGAGUCUUAACUGGGCGUUAAGUUGCAGGGUAUAGACCCGAAACCCGGUGAUCUAGCCAUGGGCAGGUUGAAGGUUGGGUAACACUAACUGGAGGACCGAACCGACUAAUGUUGAAAAAUUAGCGGAUGACUUGUGGCUGGGGGUGAAAGGCCAAUCAAACCGGGAGAUAGCUGGUUCUCCCCGAAAGCUAUUUAGGUAGCGCCUCGUGAAUUCAUCUCCGGGGGUAGAGCACUGUUUCGGCAAGGGGGUCAUCCCGACUUACCAACCCGAUGCAAACUGCGAAUACCGGAGAAUGUUAUCACGGGAGACACACGGCGGGUGCUAACGUCCGUCGUGAAGAGGGAAACAACCCAGACCGCCAGCUAAGGUCCCAAAGUCAUGGUUAAGUGGGAAACGAUGUGGGAAGGCCCAGACAGCCAGGAUGUUGGCUUAGAAGCAGCCAUCAUUUAAAGAAAGCGUAAUAGCUCACUGGUCGAGUCGGCCUGCGCGGAAGAUGUAACGGGGCUAAACCAUG
rnacentral:rRNA from 1 species